AUGUUUUAUUUAUUUAUUUGUUUGUUUGUUUUGUUUAUACAUGCACUGGGUACAGUCAGAAGCACGGGAGGGUGAGAGAAUUCACCAGAGCCAGAGCGGGGAGCAGAGCAGGCAGAAGGACCGAAGUACACAGCUGAGGGGAGCAGCGGGCGGCAGGAGAGGUCUGCGCACCAUGUGGGACCCUCCUCCAGUGGCCGGGGAGCAGCCGGGGAUCGAACCGGCGCCGCAGAGGCCGCGGGCAGCUUCGCAACCCAGCGCUCAACCGCUGCGCCACCGGGGAGGCCCCAAUACUGGGUUCCAGAGACCUCCAAAGAAGGUGAGGAAGCUUGCCUCCAUUGGCAGGACUGGACAACCUGGCCAACGAAAAGUCCCUGGUACCCUCGAGAAGAGGAAAGCCCGGGUGGAGUCUGACGAGACCAACUUUGUUCCUGUAGCCUAGAUGGACCGGAUGUCAACAGUUCGCUCUGAUCCUGUAUGAUGCAACAAAGCCAGCUAAAAUUGCUGCUUAGUUAUUCUGCCCUGUGAUUUUAUGCAAAAAUAGGUACUAUGGUUGAAAAGUACAUUUAGUUUGCAAACUUUUGCUAUGCUGUUCAAAAUUUGGGAUCAAAGUUGAGAGAAUUUGUUUUUACAUAAGUUGAGCCAUUUUAAGAUUGUUUUUUUCCUGUGAUUUUGAUAUAUUUGCUGUCUUGUUCUGGCUAAUGCCUCCAGAUUUUUUUUUUUUUUUUGGCUUGGACCGAAGAAUGGAGGACUUAUUCCAGGAAUGGAGGACUUUUGCUUUCCACAGUGGACAAUACCCGGAGGGACUGGUUUUCUUUCACACUGGAACCCUGGAAAAUUUUCAUCUGAGAUUACAUCCCAGCAUCCAUAUAUUUGAUAUUCAUCACCAUGGAAAUGGUUGCAAAAAGUGAAAGGGGGGAAUUGUUAGGGGGAAAGGAUGUCCUGAGCUAAUUCCUUACAGGCUUUGUGGACUCCACCCCCACCCCAGUCCAAAGUCAUCAGGACAUUGGGAAAGACAAAUCCCAUCACCACAAAGAGAAGGUUGCUGGGACCUGAGGGUGGAGUUAAGCAGCCAGGUUAGGUACAAAAACCAAACACAUGGGCCUUGGGGUCUCUCUCUCACUCGCCUCCUGGCUUCACGGCUGGUGGCUCGCGGCCAGCUCUCAGAGUGCCAUUUGGGAUUCCAGAUCGGCGGAUCGGAUAGGAUGCAUUUAAAAUUUUAACUCCCACUUUUCUCCCUGAGUUGUACAUUUCCUCAUUUGCCCUUCCCUUGUAAAUAAACCUUUUAUUAACCUUUUGUGUGUGCCUGCAGUAGAGUAUUGAGAAAUCCUUUUAAGCAUGUGGGUGAGGACCCACAGUCAGACAACCCGUUUUGCCAGGGACCAGCCUCCAGCAAAAUGUCAUGUCAGGGGUUCCUGAAAGGAUGAGACGGUGUCGGCGAAAACGAAAGGGCUGAGGGGAAGGGAUGAGGUAGAAUGAGGAGACACUGCACUUGGUGAGGUGCUAGUAUCUUCUGCAGAGAGGCUCAGCAGGUUAUUUAUACAUUUUUAGCAAGCAGUGAGAUGACAUUAUCAUGUGCGUAGAAACAGCAGAAAAAAUCAGUGCAUCCCUCUUUCCAUAGACCUUUGGCCACCACGUGCUCUCAGCAAGAAGGCAACCUUCAAGAUUAAUAAAAAACUAAGCCUUACACUUAAACUCAUUGUUUCAGCUAGACAGUUACCUAAGAUAGUGGAUAGCCGCCAGCACAUCCCUAUCAGCUAAAGCCUAAGCAAGAAAAGACUUUUCUUAUUUGCAUGGCCUUCAGCAGGGGACUGGCUGCUACUCAGCUAUCAGAACAUUUUUUACUUAGAAACUCCUAACUCAAAUAGCUUCAUUUAAAAACUUUUUCAAGAAACUUCAAGGGAAGGCAAAAGAAGGACCUACUAUAAUUACUGUAUUGUAAUGCUUGUCAGGCAUGUUCAACAAACCAUCUCCCAUUGUCAAGUGGGCCAAACUGCCCAACAACUAAUUUCUAAACAGACAAUUUUCCGUGCCAUUUACUGACAGUAUGCUGAUUGCUGAUACAUAUAAUUUAUUGUCUAAUAUACUUUGUGACAAAUUUUUUUCUUUCUAUGUCCAAGAACAAAAAGCAAAGGGAUGCCAGAUCUUCAGCCCCACAGUAUGAGGCCCUUUCUCUUUGCUGCUUGUCAGUAUCCUACCUGGCUGGGGCAACAAGACCCCCUACAGCACCGUUUUGUAUCUGGGCUGCCCUGUAACUCUUCUAGGCCCUGCUACAUUUCCACCCACGGUCUUGGGUUUGGCAGCUGAGGACUGAAGAGGCCCGGACUCAUCGACUCCGAUAACCUUCGAGGAGCCCAGGGUAACGGUCAAGGUAGCAGAUCCUUGGGACCAACGUUGGGUACAGAGAGUCCAAGCUGCAGUGUAUUUCUACUGGCUGGCAUUCCUACCCAGUGGCACAUUGUUCCGUCUCAAGGGAAUAUGUCCUGACACAAAAUGCCACAGUCCAAGUCUCCCAGGACAUCCUCCAUUCAGAGCAAGUCUUAUAAAAUCAGCUAACAUCAUCAGAAAAUACCGAGACACCCUCAACCUGGAUUCAUAUAAUCCAAAAUGUUAUAACCUUCCUAAAUAACUCUUUUGGGACUAAUACCUCCUCUUGUUUCCUCUGCACUUCCCUUCAGAGGCCUCUACUGGCGGCAGCUCCAAUUAAUCUCAGUACCACUACAGCCAAGAUAAUGGGACGCUGCUUGCCAGACUCCCCAACUCUCAGUCCCCCUAUGGGACUCCAAUCACAGCUACUCCUGCCAGCAAACUGACGCCCUUGUCUGCUUUCAUUCCUGUACUUCUAGCAUUUCGGUUAAAGGAUAGAUACCUCCUUAGAAAAAACCUGUCUUUAGCCAAUAGCAAAGAUAGCUCCCCUCCCUGGCACAGGCCACUUUCCAAAACCAGGGGGACCUGUGAACAGCUGAUAAGGGGGCACCUGCCUGUUCCUCAGGAAAGAAUGUUGCUACUGUAUCAGUGAGUCAGGAAUUGUAGAACAAAAUGUGGAAGCCUUCAUGAAACUACGCAAAGACGUGGAAAGGGAAAGCGGGGUCUCCAACUCUCCGCUGACAUGGUUUCAAAAUCCUGUAGUGUCAUGGCUCUUCCCACUCUUGGGGCCAAUAACCUUGUUCUUUUUGCUUCUUGCCUCUAAAAAUUCAUACAGGCUUGCAUUCGGGAAAUGUCUCCUACCAACUUUAACCAAGUCUUCCACCCAUAUUCUCGCAUCCCUGCAGAAGACCCUCAUAACCAGGCCUGAGUCACCUCCUUGGUCUUUACCCCCUUCCAGCAGGAAGUAGCCAAAGAAAGAAACUUUGCCCUUUUUCCUAUCAACAAAAGGCUGGUAUGAAAGGUCCAUGCCGGAGGCGGGAAUGCAAAAACCCACCAGGAAGCCCACCUGGGAACAGGACUGUGGAAGCCUGCCUAGAGGAUUCAGACAAUGAACUUCUCCCCCACCCCCCCUCGCCCUACAAAUCUUUUCUGUGCCCUACAAACCCAGUCUCCCACCUGACCUCUCCUCACCCUAUAAAAGCCUGCUUCCCCCUGACAACUUAAGCAGCUUCAUGGACCACCCCCCCCCUUGGGUCCCUGAGAUCCACCUGGGGCACAAUAAAUUUUCCCUUCC